GGCACACAAAACCUUAAAUUAGAGUGAAUAAAUGAAGACUCGGCACACCACUUCUGAAAGGUUGCCGACCCCUGACGUAGGCAAUAGAAUUCCCCACUGAUCUGAUGUGUCUUUGUUUUGAUGAACCUUGCUAUCCAUCGUAGACAUUUUAAGGAGCUAUCACCUUAGUGGUAUGUAAGAACCACUGCAUGCAACCCUCUCUUGCUGAGGGAUCCUGACUGGCUGGAGGCUAGCUGUCUCACUUCCAUUUUGGAAUGUUCCAUUUUAAUUAGGUUAGUCAUUCAUUUUUUAAAAAAGGUAAACCAAGAAACUGAAUCUCAAAGUACUGGGAGGUUAGAAAUAGCUGAUUAACAGCUUUGUUGAAAUAUAUUGGUAAUGAUAUAUGUAGGGUGACCAGAUGUCCCAAUUUUAUAGGGACAGUCCCAAUUUUUGGGUCUUUUUCUUAUACAGGCUCCUAUCACGCCCCCCCCCCGCACCCCCUGUCCUGAUUUUUCACAAUUCCUGUCUGGUCACCUUAGAUAUAUGGUGUGAAGGGCAGAAUGCAAUACUAAAUGGAAACAAACUCACCCCAUACUAAAGUCAGGGGACUAUAAAUCAAAACAUUAGGGACUAAAGUUGGGAGCUAAACUCCCCAGCAGAAGGACUUUUAUAUGGCUUCUUGCCAGCCAGGGGAAAGGUACCUGCUCAGCUGAGGUGCUGGAAGAGAGUUUAGCUAAAGCUGCUGGAAGGGCUAUACCAAAGGAACUACUGCUCCAACAGAUACAGACUGGACUGUUUCUUGUUUGUCAUGGAAGAGAGGGAUGGAUGAAUUGUUCCAGUGUCCAUUAAAAUUUCUAUUGCCUGCUGUGUAGUGUCUUCUACGAAGGAGAUGAACCUGCUGCAAAUGAAAUCAGUUGAGGCUGCAUUGUAUUUAUAGAGCAACAGAAAUCUUUGUAGAUUAUUUUUUCCAAGAAUCAUGAAUCUCCUUCAGUGUUACAAGUCACUGUAAUCAAUUAAUAGGAGGCAUAUUUUCAUUUUCAAUUAAAAUACGGGCCAUGCACAGUCUAUGUGCAUCCUGGCAGAUGUUUAAAAGCGUUGGCUCUCAGAGGUGAAAUGUUACCUUAUAUCUGCAGGGGGUGGUGAGAGGGUAUUCCAGGAAUGGAAAGACAUGUUAAAGUGCAGCAUUUCAGACUGUCUUCUUUUCUAAAUUUACAGCAUCAGACUGGCAGUUGUAUAAAUGAAUGAUAGACUGCAAUACUCUUUUCCAAGCAGGCUAUGAAAUGAGGGAGCCUUCAGUUUUGUGCUGAUGUGUCCAGAAUUCAAAUAAUUUGUUUCUUGACUAUAAUGACAAUCGGAAGCAUGGUAUUACCUUGAGAAAAGAGAUGGGAGAGACAGCUGCAGUACCCUGUACUCAUGAAAGAUAUUGCAUUAGCAACUGCUUCCCAGUUAGUCUCUCUACUGAAAACUCUAUUAUGCUGGGCUCUUAUUGCUUUUAUUCAAGGGCACAAAACUAAAAAGUGAUAUUGCUGGCACUAUUCUCAUCUUUCUGCCAUGACACUGAAUAAUUGGACAAUGAAAGAAAAUGUUGAAUGAUACUGAUAUUAAACACAUCUAUAGGACAAUGCAUUUGAACAUCAGCUGAUGAAGUAAUAUCCAUAUAAUUAUGCUACUUCUACUACUUUGAAAUCACCUGUUUUCAUUUUUGUUGUUGGUGAUGGAACAUUUUAUUUUCCCGUAAUUGCUGGAGACAUGCCCUGUUUUAAGGAAUAUACUUGUGAAAGUGAUAUGUUUGAGAUGCUUCCCAAGUUAACCCCAUCACUGUAUUGGUCCUUUCUAUUAAAGGAGUAGGACAUC